rnacentral:rRNA from 1 species
GUAGGUGGCAAGCGUUGUCCGGGAAUUAUUGGGGCGUAAAGCGCGCGCAGGCGGUUCUCUAAGUCUGAUGUGAAAGCCCACGGGCUCAACCGUGGAGGGUCAUUGGAAACUGGAGAACUUGAGUACAGAAGAGGAAAGCGGAAUUCCACGUGUAGCGGUGAAAUGCGUAGAGAUGUGGAGGAACACCAGUGGCGAAGGCGGCUUUCUGGUCUGUAACUGACGCUGAGGCGCGAAAGCGUGGGGAGCAAACAGGAUUAGAUACCCUGGUAGUCCACGCCGUAAACGAUGAGUGCUAAGUGUUAGGGGGUUUCCGCCCCUUAGUGCUGCAGCUAACGCAUUAAGCACUCCGCCUGGGGAGUACGGCCGCAAAGGCUG